rnacentral:rRNA from 1 species
UACGGAGGGGGCGAGCGUUAUUCGGAAUUAUUGGGCGUAAAGGGCGCGUAGGCGGCUCUAUAAGUCAAAGGUGAAAUCCCUCGGCUCAACUGAGGAACUGCCUUUGAAACUGUUGGGCUUGAGGCCGGGAGAGGGUAGUGGAAUUCCCAGUGUAGCGGUGAAAUGCGUAGAUACUGGGAGGAACACCAGUGGCGAAGGCGGCUACCUGGACCGGUUCUGACGCUGAGGCGCGAAAGCGUGGGUAGCAAACAGGA